GCCCCGGUGCACAGGAACACCUUCUCAAUGCUGCAGUAGAAGGAAUCGCCCAGAUUCUGGACAGGAUCCACCAUGACCCGACCAUAAAUCGUAUCGCCUGAAACAGAGACGUGGAAAUGUUACUUCUGUUAAGUGAUAAGGUGGACUGGGGUCAUGGAGGAUAAGCUAAUAAUUAUUUAUUGAGCAUCUACCACUUUUCAGACAUCGUGUUAAGUUCACAAAUAAUGCUACUCAAUGUUUUCAUUCU